GAUGAACGCUGGCGGCGUGCCUAAUACAUGCAAGUCGAGCGAACGGACGAGAAGCUUGCUUCUCUGAUGUUAGCGGCGGACGGGUGAGUAACACGUGGAUAACCUACCUAUAAGACUGGGAUAACUUCGGGAAACCGGAGCUAAUACCGGAUAAUAUUUUGAACCGCAUGGUUCAAAAGUAAAAGACGGUCUUGCUGUCACUUAUAGAUGGAUCCGCGCUGCAUUAGCUAGUUGGUAAGGUAACGGCUUACCAAGGCAACGAUGCAUAGCCGACCUGAGAGGGUGAUCGGCCACACUGGAACUGAGACACGGUCCAGACUACUACGGGAGGCAGCAGUAGGGAAUCUUCCGCAAUGGGCGAAAGCCUGACGGAGCAACGCCGCGUGAGUGAUGAAGGUCUUCGGAUCGUAAAACUCUGUUAUUAGGGAAGAACAUAUGUGUAAGUAACUGUGCACAUCUUGACGGUACCCAAUCAGAAAGCCACGGCUAACUACGUG
rnacentral:rRNA from 1 species